rnacentral:siRNA from 1 species
CCCGAGUCAUUGGGUGCCCCAA